AAGAAAAAGCAGAAGAAUGAAUCACGAAGAUGGCACUGAUCCUUGGCUUUCUCAAAGGCCGGAAACGCCACCUUGGGAUGCAGCAGAGUACAAUCAACUCAUUUCUUCAGGGCCAUUGCUGCCACUACUAGAGCACUACGCGGGCAUCGGUUCUUAUGACCAAACCACAAUCAGGGGGGCAGCAUGGCAAGUUUCGUCACAGGGCGCUAACGCUGACAAAUGUACGGGCAACCAACUUCAGCUAGCUAAUGUGGCAAAUCAAGGACCUUCAUGCAGCACGUGGCAUCAGGC